AGGAGAUACCAAUUACCAAGGUGUUAGCUGCACCUGCAGUUUAUGGACCAAAAGCUGGGACUAAGAAGAAUGAAAAUCCAGAAAAAGCUUCUAUUGAAGUAAUUUGGAAGCCAAAGACAGGCAAAGUGGAGGCAAGGAAAGUUGUGAGUAUGAAAUAUGAGACAAUGGUGGUGGUGGAAGUGAUUUGUUAGGUUCUAGGGGCAAGGAGCUUGAUUUUUUGUGUCACUUAUUAAUAGGACAUAAAGGUAUGGAUUUUAACAGCUAACUUGAGUCCAUAUUUGUAUUUGGAGCAUAUAAAUAAUUGUCGACAUUGCUGUGAUUGCGGUAAUGGCUGCAAUGUCGCGGAAAUGGUAUAUCGCAGUGUUACGACUCGUUCGUGGACAUGACAAUAUGAAUUUUUAGCUUGAAAAAAAAUUCUUUUUAUCACAUUAUUUCAUAUUUUCUUGCAAAAUGUAUCUUAAUGAAAGCUUAUAAUAGACCUCUUUGAACCUCAUAUACUUUUAAAAGGUAAUACAGGCCAAUGUGUUACUAUAGCAACAUAUAAUGGUUUUCACUAGGUUACGUAACGGGAUUUUUGUGGUUCGAGAGGCUUAAAAUACGUUAUAAAGCAGCUGUUAUGUAACCUAAUAGCCUCAUGUUUAUUCCAUGAUUUGGAGGAUAUAUCAAAUGGAAUUUUAAGUAAAUUUUGAAGUUCUAAUCUAAUAACUUUUGAUUGUCCCCUUUUGGUGACCUCUAAAAAGACAUAGUCUAAUUUGAUUGACUUAGAUUUUUAUAGUCUCAGCUCUCAGGUUUAAAUUCCAUUCACCCAACAUCGAUUUUCUCCCUGAAUCAACAAUUUUCAAUUAACUAGGGAAAUUGGAGAGGAGUACGAGAUGAUACUAAAGAGAACACUACAAAACAUCUGUACUUUCGCUGGAGUUCCUGUUCAUUGAACACUACAAAAAUCUGUAUUCGGUUAGAAUCUUUUUUUGUUGGGAGCAGUCACUUUGCUUGCUUGAAAGUGAUUUAUUGAUGCUAUGUUAUGUGACCUUAUCUUUUUUUAAUUGUUUUUCUAAUUCUUAAGGCUGAACUGUUUUGCUAUCUUAUUUUUUUUGCUGUAAAUAAAUUUGAUGAUGUCUUAUUUAUUUAGACCGCUUCCUGUCCCCCUCAAGGGAGAAAAGCCAAGAAUUAAAACAUGGAGGAGGCAUAUUAAUCGAUUUCCAAAAUGUAUGUAAGAGAUUUCUCUUUAAGAUAUUCUUUUUUGGAUCUGUUGCUGUGAUUGAAUGACUUGCAAUGUUCAUUUGAUGCUCUGAUGGAGUUUAGAAUUUUUUUUCCUGAUAGGAAUAGAGUUUAGAUAUAGAUGUUUGAUUUAAGCAAAAUUGGAGGGGCAGUCUGUUUUCCUCUCUCCCUAUAGUUUCUGCGCUCUUCUCAUAUCCAUUCACUUAUCCUCUACAUCAAAUUGUCUUUUAAAAGGUUGACGCCUUUUCAAGUUUUGAAAUGAACGAGAAGUUAUUCAUGAGAAUAUCAUUUCUUAUCUUAUUUAGUGGAAAUUGUUGCUCUUUGAUAUUAAAAUCUAUUACGGUCAUAUAGAGAAUUAGCAUUUGCAGAGGGCAUAUGAUGUCUUACACUUGAUCUCUGAAUUUCAGGUAAGUUCUGUUGAGAAUUCAAAAAAUGCUGAUGCCCAAGUCUUUGCAGAUCUCUCGAAACCUUUUUUUUUUCUUUUUUUAUUUUGUAGAUACAUUUUGUGCAAGUGUUUUAGAAGUGCUUUUUAAAUCUCAAUUUGUAGGGAGAAGGUCUAUAAGGAAAGUUUUUAUUUAUGUGAUGUGACUAAGUUUUGUAGAAGUUUUAUCUAGGUAAGAAAAUUAUUCAUAGAUCUUAUAGUUGUUAGCCAAAAAAAUGCAUUUCUUACUCCAUCUCAUAUCAGUUGGCUUCUAGCACCAUCUACCCCUCUAAUACCUCAUUACUCAACCUAAUGCUUGGUUGGUUCUGUGGAAUGUUCAUUUUGAUAUUUUUUGUAAGUAUUUGUUUUUAAUUCAAAUUUGUUUCUAGAAAGGUUUUCAUUGAUAAAUUCUUGCUAUAUGCCAAACCUUUCUUGCUGAAGUCUAACAAUGAGUAUGGAUUAGGAACAUAUGUUUCUCUUUGAAAGAGCAUCGUUUCCAUUUUUUUGUGAGGUUUUUGGUGAAAUUGGUACUACAUAUUUUAACUUGUUCUUACAAAGGCAAAAAAAUACUCCUAAAAUGUUUUGAAUAAGGCAGAAAAUGGACAAGUAUAUGAAUAAAAUCCUUAGAGAACAAGAAAAAUAUAGAUGAAUUAGUUUGAGUCUAGUACAAAGCUGAGCCAAACCAUACAUACAGAGUGCAUUUUAGAAUCAAACAUGUUUUGGGAUGGAAAUCCAACACCUUGCUGCUUGUGCUCACAAAUCCCUAUGCAUUCGUUCCAACUACUUUAAAGCAAACAACUCCUUAAAAAAGAUGUUUGGCAUCUGCAGAGGGCAUAUGAUGUUUUACACUUGAUCUCUGAAUUUCAGGUAAGUUUAUUUGUUGAUAACAAAAAUACUGAUGCCCAAGUCUUUUCUUUUUUAGAUCUCUCAAAACCUGUAUGUCUUUUCUAGAAUGAUUUUAUGAAUUUUAAAGUCUAUUUUAAGUUCUAUUCAAUAGUAUUCAUUCCUCGAUGCAAUUUCGUUUUAUUUUUUAGUGUGUAUGGAUUUGAAAAUGUAUGCACUUGUAUGGACUAAAAUGUAACUACGUGACUCACCUCUGCAGUUGGGUGGCCUUGAAGAUUGAUGUUAACUGCACCAUAAGUCACUUAAUUUUGUAAUAAAGACUCUGUCUUCUCUUUGAUUUUAAUGAGAAAUGUGGUUGAUAGGUUCAUUAAUUUAGUCGACAUCAUCAGGAUUUUUCAUAGAUGAACCAGUAUGGUUUGUGAUUCAAAAUUAUUCUGAUGUUCAAUUAUCUCAACUAAGAGAAAAAGUAUGUACUGCAUGUCUGCAUCUACUUUAAUUUUAUGUAUCAUAUUGGGUGUUCUUUUAACCGAUGUUGACAAUGAAUUAUUAUUAUUGGUAGUGCCUUUAGUCCCAAUAGGUGUUGGUAGAAGUUACGAGGAGCAUAUUUCGAUGGAAUUGCUUACAAAAAUAAUGUGUGCCUUUACAAUAUGUUUGGAUAACAUAUUAGGAGAGAAAAGAAAGAAAGGGAAGGAAAGGGAAAGGAAGGGAAGGGAAGAGAAGGGAAAGAGGGAAAAAAAAUGCAUUGUUUGUAUAGGAAGAAAAAGGAGGGGAAAGAAAAUAAUUUCAUUUUCCUUCCAAAUCGUUCUUCUUACGGAGAGAUUUGGACGUCAACAAAAUGAAGGGAGUUAAUCUCUCCAAAUCUUCUCCCUCCCUUUUUUAUAUCUAAAUAAGGGGAUCUUCAUCCCUCCAAAUUCUUUACUUUUUUUUCCUCUAUUUCCCUCCAUCUAAACAAGGUCCUAGCCCCUAUAGAUCGGCUAAAUGAACUAAAACGAAAACAGAUAGAUAGUCGGUAACAAUGAGAUGAAAGUGUUUACAAAGAUAUAUUAUAAGAAUAAAUGUACAUUGUUCUGUUAUAUGCAUAUUUUCAACUAUUGAAUCCUCUAGAUUAUAAGUCAAAUGUAAUGAGUUUAACUUGAAGUGAUGAUAGUAAUCUGUUAAGUGAAAAUUCGUUCAGGAUUAAUCUGGAAAUACUACAAAAUUGAAGUAGUGUAUGAAGUAAAUAGCUCAUUUCAAGCUUUCUGCUAAUCUUGUUUGCUUCCUUCACUUUCUUAUUUUGUUUUUGUAUGCAGGCCAAAUAGCCAACGACUCAGUUUUGUUCCUUGCACUUUGUUUAUAAAUCAUUGUCUUGUUGUGUUUUUUUGCCUUGUGUUAUGUUUCUUUGCUUUUCUUUGUAGGUCUUUCUCAGGUCUAUGGAGUUUUUGGUUGCAUCUUUUAUUAUGGGUACAGUUUGACUUUUUUAUUCCUUCUCAAAUCCUGAUUAUAGUUUUUAUGAGCAGGAUGUAUGAUAAUGCUAUUUUAUAAUCAAUGCUACAUUUUUCAGUUGAACAUUAUAUUAACUGUCCGACUAUUAGACUAGCUACUAAAUACAACUUCGGAAAUUCCUAAGAAACUGCCUUCAGAAUCAACUUCCUAGUUGGGAUACUUAAUUUUCUACAAGGGAAAUCAUCUGAUAUGAACUAUGGAGAACUAAGCAUAUGAGACAUUGAAAACACCAUCACAUUAGGCUAUUAAGCUCCACAAAUUCUUGUAAUUGGGCCGGCUAAAUAUUAUAUUUUGAAAUAUUGUAAGUAGGCAUUAAAAAUGAUAUAAGUAGACAUUUAAGAUAUUGUGAAUAGGUAUUAAAAAUACGGUAAAUAGGCAUUAAGAAUAAUGUAAGUAGUCAUUAAAUUUUAAUGGGUUGAGCUUGAGAGACGUCUCUUAAAGAGAUGAACUCUCAAGAGACUAGUUGAUUAAGCCAUGUUGUAUAUUUGCACCAACCAUCUAAAAUGCACUUAUGUUGAUUUUAACCACAAAUUUUUUAUCCAUACUUGGUAACAUAUAGGAUGGCCAUGGUGGAAUGUACGUCUUAAUUGUAUGUCACCUUUUAGCAGACGAACAGCUUCAAUCAGUUUCUCUAGUACGGCAUAAAUGAUGGAGUUGAUAUUUUGUUAUACUAUGAUCAAAAUUUUUUGUAUGAAACAGUCUUAUUGUAAUACACGAUUUUAUAUGAAUUAAAAUAGUCUAAUUAAUACAAAUUAUUAACUUAUGAGAAUUUUGUUUUGAGACCGUUUCUUUGAGAAACGAUUUCACAUAGCUUCAACAAAAACAAAAGACUAUUGUUAAACCAAACUAUGAUUAGUUAUUCGAUUAUUCCCUAUUACGUACAAAUGUACAAUAAGGGAGUGUUGCCCAAAAUUAACUGUAACACCCCGUCAUGUUAUAACGUCAUUAAUUAUUAUUAUAAUUGAUUUUGGAUAUUUUAUAAUUAUAUUAAAUUAUUUUGAGUUAGUUUAGAUAAAUUUCUUUCAUAUACGAAUUUAAAUAUUAGCAUAUUUAUAUUAAAAAAAUAAAUUUGUAAUUACUAAAAUAAAGAGGUUCGAAUCAAAUUAUUAUUUUAUUAAAAUUUGUGAGCACACAAAGGUGAGUUUUCUUAGUUUGACCUUGUAAGAAUAUGAAUCUAGAUAAAUAGAUAAAUAAAUAAAUAAUUAAGUAAUUAAAAUAAAAAGCACUGAGUUAGGGUUUUAAGUGAGAACACUCCUUAGUCCUUACCCUCACAUUCGAAAAUCACAGUUCCUUCUCCCUCCUCCUUCCUUCUUUCUCUCUUUCCCCUCUCACCUGUGCACCGCCACUGUACCUGGUCACCAGCCGACUGUCGACCAGCCGCACAGGCGUUCCACCUGCAGCCAUAACCCUCCCCUUGUCCUCCAUCGACAGCAACCAAGCUGCACGUGUGCCGCCAGCAGCAAGAGGCUGCGUUUUCAGCCCCCUCCACCAACAGCUAUGGUGGUUUGGUCCCCACCAUCAACUGUUGCACACUUGCUCCACCAUCACAACAACCAUCUAUCCUUUCACCUCCUUUUCUAGUUUCACCAUACAAGAGGAUCAUAGACAGGCGUAGCAGGUAUUGAAGGUUCUUUUGCAUUACAUUGGGGGAGAGUGAUAAGGGCGAAGCAUAACCUAUGUCACACCGUUAUCUUUCGUUUUGGCAGCUGUUGUUUAUCUUUUGUAAACUUUGGUUGUAUACGUUUUUUUAUGAGGCCUUGUGUCCUCCUUUGUAUAUUUGUAUUUCUGCUGCGUAGUUUAUAAUUUUGUAUUAUUUUGAGGACACAUAAGAUGUCCGAGGAAUGGAGGAAUAACACACUAGUACCACUGUUUAAGAACAAAGGCAAUGCGCAUGUAUGUGGCAAUUAUAUAGGUAUGAAACUCCUAACCACACAAUGAAAUUGUGGGAAAGAGUGAUAGAGGGGAGAAUUUGACAGGAAACGGUGAUUAGAGAGAACCAAUUCAGUUUUAUGCCAAGAAUGUCAACCAUUGAUGCAAUUCAUGCAUUGAGGAGACUGAUGGAGAAAUAUGGGUAGCGAAAGAAAGAUCUGCAUAUGGUGUUCAUCAACUUGGAGAAAGCCUAUGAUAGCAUAUCACGACGUGUCAUCUGGGAUAGCCUCAAGGCUAAAGGUAUUUCAUCAAUAUACAUUGAGGCUAUACGCGAUAUGUAUGACAGAGUUUCCACUAACAUCCAAACAUCGGUGGGGAUAACGGAGACGGUAUCAAGGAUCGACUAUAAGCCCUUUCAUUUUUACUGUCAUAAUGGAAGAGAUUUCUAAAUCUAUUUGGGAGACGGUAUCGUGGUGCAUGAUUUCGCUGACGACAUAGUGCCGGUAUCAGAGACUAGAGAGGAGGUUUGCAUUAAAUUGGAUGAAUGGAGGGAAAUUCUAUAAGGUAAAGGAUUGCACAUUAGUCGUACGAAGACCGAGUAUUUACGCUGUGACUUUAGCGGGUCACCACUGGUAGGUGAACCAGAGGUGUCCAUAGAUGAAACAGUUGUUAAAAUUACAACCAAGUACAAGUAUUUUGGGAUCGAUCAUUCAAAAGGAUGGGGAGAUUGACGGGGAUGUAAAUCAUCGUAUACAGGCGGGUUGGCUCAAGUGGCGAGUAGCCACCGCAGUGCUAUGUGAUAGGAAAUUCUCAAGCAAGUUAAAAGGAAAAUUCUACCAGGUAGCAAUCAGACCUGCUCAGCUAUAUGAGACCGAAUGGUGGCCUAUAAAGAAGAUUUUCGAACAUAAGAUGGAAGUUACAGAGAUGCGUAUGCUAAGGUGGAUGUGUGGGAAUACUUUGAUGGAUCGAAUGAGGAACCAAGCGUUUAGAGACAAACUAGGGGUAACCCCUAUAUUUGGAAAAAUGCGCGAAAAUAGAUUGAGGUGGUUUGGACAUGUGUAGAGAAAGACUUUCGACGCCCCUGCGAGGAGGGUAGAAAACAUUAUAGCAGAGGGUAAGAGGAGUCGAGGAAGACCCAGGAGAACUUGGGAUGAGCAAGUAAGAGUUGACUUGCAUGAGUUAAACCUCACUGCGGACCUGAUUAGGGAUAGGAGUAGUUGGAGACGCCAUAUUCACGUCUUAGAUUACUGAUGUCUUCUUAGUGUAUCUUUUGUGUCCUUAACCUCUUACUUUUCUCGUUUUCAAUCUUUUAGUUCUUUGUUUUCUUUUUGUAGUGGGUUCUUCUUUUAUUUAUUUAUAGGCCUUUUAGUUAUCUUUCA